UUUUUAUGGAGAGUUUGAUCCUGGCUCAGGAUGAACGCUGGCGGCGUGCCUAAUACAUGCAAGUCGAGCGAACGGACGAGAAGCUUGCUUCUCUGAUGUUAGCGGCG
rnacentral:rRNA from 1 species